rnacentral:tRNA from 1 species
GAGGGUAUAGCUCAGUGGGAGAGCACAUGCUUAGCAUGCACAAGGUCCUGGGUUCAAUCCCCAGCACCUCCA